GCGGUGGUGGUCUAGUCUGGUUAGGAUAGGGGCCCCCCAAGCCCCUGAUCGCGGGUUCAAAUCCCGCCCACCGCA
rnacentral:tRNA from 1 species